rnacentral:misc_RNA from 1 species
CAUGAAGAACGUAGCGAAAUGCGAUAAGUAAUGCGAAUUGCAGAAUUCCGUGAGUCAUCGAAUCUUUGAACGCACAUUGCGCCCUCUGGUAUUCCGGAGGGCAUGCCUGUCUGAGCGUCAUUGUCAACCCUCAAGCUCAGCUUGCUGUUGGGUCCCCGUCGUUGCUUUAACGGCGGACCCGAAAGGUAAUGGCAGAGUCCGUGAGACCCUAGACGCAGCGAGCUUCUAGCACGCGUCUGGACGUUUUUCGGGCUCGGUCUUAACUAGAUGAUAACUUCCGAUUGACCUCAGAUCAGGUAGGGAUACCCGCUGAACUUAAGCAUAUCAAUAAGCGGAGGA